ensembl:lncRNA
GCAUCAUUAAACAAAUGUUCCACAGCAUAAACAAACAUAACACACCUUAAAAUAAUAUUCCACAAUAACAUAGUGAGACUUUAUUUCAAGAAAGUAAAAAAAAAAAAAAGGAGGGAAGGGGCUGUGGAAAUGGCUCAGUUAGUAAAUUGCUGGCCUUGCAAGCAUGAGGUCCCGGGUUCAAUUCCUAGAACCCAUGUGAGUGAUUGUAAUCCCAACACUAGACAGGCAGAAGGGGUGGAUCUGUGGGGCGGGGCUCAUUGGUUAGCCAGUCAAGCUUUCGUGGCUAGUGACUUGAGGGCACUAAGGAAUAAUACUCAGGCAGUCCUCUGGCCUCCGUAUGCAAACACACACACGCACACGCACACGCGCGCACACGCGCGCGCGCGCACACACACACACGCAUACACGCACACGCACACGCACACACGCAUAUAUCCAUACACAAGCAUGAACCUGUUGUGGAAUAUUUGCAACUAUGCAAAGACAUGCUGCAUUUAUUUACCUAUAUAAAGAUGUGUUGCAUUUGUUAAUUAUGCAAUGAUGUAUUGCUGUUUUACCUUGCCUGCCUAAGGCAUCUGAUUGGUCUAAUAAAAAGCUAAAAGGCCAGUAGCAAGGGAUGAGGUAUAGGUGAGACUUCCAGGCUGGGAGAGUAAGUAGGAGGAGGAAUUUAGGUUCAGGAAGGAAAAAAAAAGAGGAGACACCAGGGAGAUACCAGGGGCCCCCAACCAGACACAGAGGAAGCAGAAAAAUAGGACACACAGAAUGAAAGAAAGAAAAAAACAAAAACAAAACAAAACACCGAGGCAAAACAUAGAUGAAUAGAAACAGGUAAAAUUAAGUUAAAAGAGCUAGUGGGACAAGCAUAAGCUGAGGACAAGCAUCCAUAAUUAAUAAUAAGUCUCUGUGUCUUUAUUUGGGAGCUGGUUAGCAGCCCAAAGGAAUUUCCAAAACACACACGCACGCACGCACGCACGCACACACGCACACGCGCGCAUACACACACACACACACAUAGGGGGAGGGAGCAGUAGAGCUGUGGAUGGCUGUGGGUGUAGUCUAGUUGGUACAGUAUCUUACCUGGCACACAGAGUCCUGCAUCUGAUCUUCAGGCCUGCAUAAAGCAGCAGGGUGACACAGAAGUGGAAUUCUAAAUCUGGGAGCAGAGGAAGGAGAACUAUAUAACCUAUUUGAGGUCCUAUAAUCUUCAAUUAUAUAUAUACUCUUCAAUAUGUAACCUAUUUGAGGCCAGCCUGGGAUACAUGAGACCCUGUCAAACAAUAAAGAAAAUAUUAAACAUUAGGGUUUGAAGGAAUGAUCAUUACUAACAAAAACUUUUUUAAAUGGGGUCAAACACUAGUUGAAAUCAUCAUCGGAAUUUUGAGACAAGUUCUCACUAUGUAGCCCUGGCAGGCCUGGAACUCACUCUGAAAUCCAAGUCCUUUUCUACCUUUUAAAUUUUAAACUACACUAAACUACAGACCCUUCCUAUCAUCUUUAUUGACAGAUAGUUUUCCAGACAGAUCAGCUGUUAGGUUUUGCUAAAUAAAAAUAAAUGUAGACAAUCAUGGAACAAGAAUAUAACACAUUCUUAGUAAUUUAAUCUGCUAGAGUCUCCAAUUCAUUCAGGCUGUUACAGACAAGCCAGCGACUGUGUGCCCUGGGCCUGGGAGAAACACUGCAGCUCAUUCAGCAUCUGGCUGGGCAAGUGUUGUAAGCCUGGAGCCAUCUUAGUCUGCAGGCUUCCAGCCGAUGAAAUAGCUUAAGCUCUGGCCUUAAAAUUCCUAAGUCGGGGAAAUGGAAAAGUCCAGAAGUAAUGACCCGAUUAACACAGGGUCUGAUAACCCUUAUAACAGGGUUGGGCAUGCUGGAAGUAGGCUGGGGAGAGAGGGAAAGGCAGCUCUGGCUCCUGCCACUUAGCUAAGCCAUGAAAGAUAAUAGCAGGUGGUCAAGAGAGGUGGGUGGGCUGGCUGGUCAGGGUGGCACAGAAAGAGGCAGACCUCUGUGAGUUCAAGACCAGCUUGUCCUACAAAUGAAGUUCCAGGACAGUUAGCCAGGACCACACAGUGAAACUCCAAAUGAGAGAGACAGAGACAGAGACAGACAGACAGAGUGGGUGAGAGUCACCAGGUAGAGGAUAAGGACAGGGCAUGGACUGAGGGGAGUGACAGCAGUAAGAAUACCCUCAGAGGCCAGGCCAAGGAACUAAUUUAUUACAUUCUAUUUAUUUAUUGUGUGUGGUGAGGAUGCGUGUGUUUAUGUGUGGCAUACACCUAUGUUACAGGACACGUGUGGAGGUCAGAGGACAACCUGCAGGAAUUAAUUUUCUCUUUCCACCGUGUGAGAAUCCCAAGGCUCAAGGUCACACGGUCAUGACUGGCCACAAGUGUCGAGCCAUCUUCCUAGUCCAAGAAACUCAAAUUUUAUCUUGGAAGCUGUUUUGUUUUCAUUUUUGCUGCUGUGAUAAAAAUGCCCCUAGCAAAAAGCAACUUAAAAAAGAAAGGGUUUACUCUUUCGCUGGCGUCGGUUUGCUAUGCUGUGUUUAGUAUGUAAUCUCCGACACUAAAUGACUUUUGGGCCCUCAUUUGUGAGCCGCCAAGAUGCAGGAAACAUCGGGCCAUUGUGGUGCACUCAGCACCGCAGGAGCUUGGUGAGGGCUAACAAGCGGCCAAGGCCAUGGGAAGCUGAUCUUAGGCACCAUGCCGAGGAACUCCACUUUGCCAGAGUUUAACCUGAAUUCAUUGCUGGUCUCUGAUGAAGACAUGUUAAGGUAUUGUUUAAAGAAAAGUAAUAGAGCCUGAGAUCCUCUGGGCACCUUACAGGGAAUCCUCACACUUAACAUUUUGGAAAUGAGUAUUGAGUAUUAUGGAUAUUAUUAACACAGCACUUUUCAAUAUAGUCCUGACCUUUAUUUCUUAACCAAGUUUUUUCAGGAGCCGAUAAAGCUUGGUUGGUGAGUAAUAAAUUAAAAAAAAAAAAAAAAAGAAAAAAGAAAAAGAAAGAAAGAAAAAAGAAGAAAAAAGAAAGGGUUUAUUUGACUUACCAUUCUGGGUUCCAGUCCAUCAUUUUGAGGAAAUUAAGUAGUCAGGCAUUCAAGCAGCCUGUCCCAUCACAUCCAAAAUCAAGACCAAAGAGAAUAUAUACACCCUUGCUUGCUUAUGCUCAGCUAGCUUCCCUCGUUUACAAACAGCUCAGGACCCAGUCUAAGGAAUGGUGCCGCCCUCCUCCAGGGUGGGUCUUCCCCCUUAAUUAACAACCAAGGCAACCAGGGCUGGAGAGAGAGAGCUCAGCAGCCAAGGACAUUUGCUCUUGCAGAGCACCUGGGUUUGAUUCUCAGCACCUAUAUAGCUUCACCUCAACCUGUGUCAUGAUAGACUGAGUGCCGUGUGAUAUUUCUCAAAGACAGAAAGCUAGGAAGGAAGUCUGGGUAUGUGUGGCACAAGCCUUUAAUCCCGGCACUUGUGAAGCAGAGGCAGAUGGAUCAUUGUGAGUUCGAGGCCAGCCUGGUCUACACAGCAAAUCCAAGCCAGUCAGAGCUACACAGUGAGACCCUGUCUCAAAGUAAUUUAAUUUAAUGAAGCCAGGUAGGAGGCUAGGGAGUUAAGUGAAACGCCAGGGUUUCUCUGUGUCUUGGGACUGUCUUGGGGCUCAAUUUGCAGACCAAACUGGCCUGGAAUUUACAGAGAUCCGCCUGCCUCUGCCUCCCGGGUGCUGGGAUUAAACGUGUGUGCUACCAUGCCUGGCUGUAUUGCAGACUAUUUUUCUGGGAGAAUUUUUUUUUAAAAGACUACUCAUUCGUUCAGUAGCAGUAGAACCAGGCCAUAUCUCUGGAAGGGUUGUUUCUGAUAAUCUCUCUUCCUCAAGCAGACCUGGCCUCAGAUUCAGUGACCUUUUCCUGUAUGACAUUGCCCUGCUCUGCCCUGCCCUGCCCUGCCUUUUCUCUCAGCCUUCGAUGCUACCCUUCCUGAGAUCAACAGUCAGCUGACUGCCCAGGCCUAUGCACAGGGACACUGGAGACCAGCCGGACACCAGCUCCUCUGACCGGUUUGGAUCUAAUCUCCAAUCUCUCUUUAUUCAGUGACUGCAGCUUUGUGUUUCCUUCAAGGAACUACUGUUCCAUUCCAUGCCAAAAAUACUCUGCCUGAGUCAGUCAGGUAACUCAGCUGGGGGUGUGGGUCCUAAACAGGUUGAACUCUUUGCAAAAGCUUUUGUACACUUAGAAAAGUGCGUCCUCACCACGCCACACCCCCUCACCCCCACCAAGAAUAGGCAAAUAACUUACCAGGGCCUCCAAACUCCCAUAAGCUUGAAAAACUUAAUUUAGUUUGAGCCUUUAGUCCCAUCCUCCACAGUAACCUUGGGGUUAAUCAACUCGGGGUCUCCUCUGGGGCUAAAAAAUAGGUUUGCACGAAACAGGCUUUCAAUAGAGUCAACUGAAUCAUUAACAACACUUCCCCAAAAGAAAUUUCUAAAAGGAAGGAAGAGAGGAAGGAAGGAAGGAAGGAAGGAAGGAAGGAAGGAAGGAAGGAAGGAGGAAAGGAAGGAAGCUGCUACACUUGGGGUUAAAUGUAGCUCAGUUGGUAAAGUUCUACACACACACACACACACACACACACACACACACACACACACACACAGGAAUGACUCCAGAGCAAGAAGAUCAGUGCAGGGUCACACAGCCAGCUAGAGGUCAGCUUGGGUUACAGUAGGCCCUGUCUCAGAUACAACAAAUAACAACCAAAACAUGGCAUGUUGGCACAUGUCUCUAAUUCCAGCAUUCAUGAGGCAGAGGCUGGUGGAUUCUUGUAAAUUCGAAUCCAGCCUGGUUUAUAUACAGAGUUCCAGGCUAACCAGGGCUACAUAGUAAGACUCUGUCUCAAAAAAAAAAAAAAAAAAAAAAAAAAAAAAAAAAAAAAAAAAGGGGUGGGAGGAGGGUGAGAGGGGAAAAAAAGAAAGAAAAAGAAAAGAACACUUCCUUAUUCGUGCAAACUGAGAAUUGUACCAUUAACCAAACAGAACAAAAGUGAAAGUGAAAUUAUUACAUUUUUCUCUGAGACCACAAGGCCUGCACACAGCAAAUCUGGGGUCACGAUCAUGGAUCCGAGUCUUCUGCUGUGCUCCCGAAGUCUCUGACUCACUGCGAUCUUGGGUAAUAAUUCUCCCAGACUCCCUACACCUCAUUUCCUAUUUUUGCAACAUGGAAAAUAAGUUUGUCCUUUAUCUUCUGAGAGAGGAGGGUGUCGGGAAAAGAGAUGACACACAAAUGCCUUUGGAACGCUUUACCGGCUGUGGUUCCGAAGGCUUGCUCAGCUGCACUGGUUAUUUUGAUGCCCAGCCUCCUUCCAGGUCCAAAAUAUUCUCGAAUGUGCUCAAAUUUAGCACUGGUGAUAAGAGCAUGUUGUGCUGGAGUGCACUCCAGGGCCAUGCAGAGCAGUACUUCUUAACAAUGUGUAAUUCCCAUUCCCUUGGUAAGUAUUAAAAGCCUCACCCCUGGAGUUCGAGGCCAGCCUGGUCUAUAUAGCGAGUUUCAGGCCAGGCAGGGCUCCAUAGCAGGACCCUGUCUCAAAAACCAAAAAUACGGCCCCCCCCCAAAAAAAAGCCUCACCCCUUACCAGGUGGUGGCACACACCUCUAAUCCCUCCAUUUGGGAGACAGAGGCAGGUGGAUCUCUCUGAGUUCAAUGCCAGCCUGCUCUACAAAGCUAAUUCCAGUACAGCCAGGGUUAUGUAGUAAAACCCUGUCUUAGCAAGAAAACAAAACAAAACAAAACCCUCACCCCUGUUAUAAAUUUUGUAUUAUAAAAACAGGGGUUAAUGUUUUCCAUUUUCAAAGUAUAUGACUUUAUAACAUAUGCAUUUGUUUUUUAUUUAUCUAUUUCAUGUGCAUUCAUGUUUACCUGUAUGUAUGUCUGUGUGAGGGUGUUGGAUUCACAGGAACGUCAAUUACAGGCAGUUUUGAGCUGCCAUGUGAGCGCUGGGAAUUGAACCUGGGUCCUCUGGAAGAGCAGCCAGGGCUCUUAACCUCCAGCCCACAAAUACACUUUUUAUUUAUAACAAAUAAGUGGAGGCCUGCGAGAAGGUUGAGCAGAUAAAGCACCUGUAAUAUAAUUUGAAAUUAUGCUUGACUCUUUUCUGAUGACAGUUGUGGGUAUAGUUAAUAUUUCUAAGGUUUGUCACCUUUCAUGAAUAAAGUUUAUACUGCACUGCAGUUAGAGGUCAAAGAAAAUAUAACCUUUUCCCUCCGGAGUCCCCAGGAUCCCAAACAUUCAACCAAAGACAACAUCUACAGAAACCUGGAUAAGGGCAGCUGUUUAGAGGGACUGGGUCCAUUUAUCUUUAUGUUCGCAGCAAAGGGCUUAAUACAUCGCAGCUGUUCCUGGGUAUCUGCAUGGGGCUGGUUCCAGGACCCCCAAGGAAGCCAAGUCAAUGGGAGCUCAAAUCCCUUGUAUAAAGUGACUCAGUAUUUUACUGAAACCAGCACCCACCCUCCUGGGCACUUUAAGUCAUAUCUCAUUUAUUUAUAAAUCCUCAUACAAUGUAAAGAUCUCCACAGUUAUUCAAGUUAUUUGUGAUAAAGGUGAAGAGUCUAUAUAUGGUAAGUAUGUGAGUCUGACUAUAUUUUUAAACUUUGUUUGCCAAAUCUGUGUGUGAAACCUGCAGGUAAGAAAGACCUGAUAUUAUAACACUAAAUAUGAGCCCAGAACCAAAGGCAAAGACUUUUCUUCUUUGAGGAGCUCACACCAAAGCAGACCUUGGAAAGUGGCUCACUAAGGAUGGAAGGUCUGCAGACAUAUCUAUGUAGAAACACAUCCCUCCCUGGCCCUGUAAUAACAGUUAGUUCCCCAAAGUGUUAGCAUAAAAACUUAACCAGAAUCACACACACACCCUGAGGACAUUUAGAGGAGAGUCGUUCCCUCACAACUCCCUUGCCAUGUGCAAUGGGAUCUUGAAAAGGGCAGCGCAUGUCUCUAAAUACGUAAGAAAUGUAAAAAGUCAUCUUUUCAUAGUCUUUAGCUUCCCACUGCAGCAGUGACUAAUGCAAGAUGUUUCAGUCUCUCUUACUAUUACCAAAUACUUCCCUUCUUCUCCUUUUGUUGCUUCAGUUCUGGUCGAUAGAAUUUCCUAAGACUGUAAAAAUAAAGAAAUAAAUGAGAGCAAGUUGGAGUAACAGUGCAGCAUCUCUGGAGAACGGGCCUUGCUCUCUGUGACUUUCCCAGCUCCUUCCAGGGCACACCGGACACCAUCUAUACCUGAACCCGGCAGCUCUGCACACACCCAAACCCUUUUGCAUUCCACAGCAGCCAGAAUGAGGCAGCUCCUCCACCUUCCACUGUCUGCCUGACUUCAGAUUUGAAAUGGAUUGGUUCAUAACUUCCAGCAUCAUCCUCAAGAAUAAACGCCAGGAAAAAAUAUUUUACCUUAAAAGCGCUUCUCAGUACUACCCAGGAAAUUUAGGAGCCACGCUCACACACCACCGGCCAGUCAGACUCUCAAGAAUGUUGAGCAAGUUGUUGGCCCACCCCCAGCCCCAUCCUGUCUGAGGUUUAAACAUCUGCAACAUAAGAAAUGAGCUAUGCAGAAAUAAGCAGUUUUGGAAACUGUGUGUCAGAAAAUAGUGGCUCACUGCCUGUCUGAGGCAUUCCUGUAAAAUUCCUACAGAAGUACUGAGCAAAAUCCCCAGCUUGCUGGGACACAAGGGCCACAGCUUUGCAGGAAAGGAAGGGAGGGAAUAGGUGUCCCUGAGCCUUCCCGACGGGGAGCUUGACAGAACACUUUGCACACUUUAGAAAUGGGCAUUUUCUUCCACCUUCACUCUCCUGCAGCAGCUUUCUCACCUUCAAACUGCAAACAUGUUCACAUCAUGAUCAGCGUAGCAGCAACUCCCUUUAUACCACUUCCUGGAGUUACCAAACGGCCUGCCCUUUGUCUUUCUGUUCUAACUUCCUAAGACAGUGGUCCCCAGUCAGGGUCUUCCUGUCCUGCUCCAGAGAUGGGUGCUUUGGUCUUUUUUUAUUGGGAUUUAAUCCAGUACUAAGGAGGCAGAGGCAAAGAUAGAGGCAGGAGGAUCUCUGGGUUUAAGGGUAUACUAAUCUACAUGGUGAGUUCCAGGCCAGCCAGUCCUAUACAGUGAGACCCUGUCUCCAAUACAUAGAAGCCCCAGUUUGCUGGGACAGAAGGACCACAGUUCUGCAGGAAAGAACAGGAAUAGGUGUCCCUGCUGGGGCCUAGAGGCAUAGUCUAGUUGGCCGUCUAGCAUGCAUAAAGCCCUGAAUCCAAUCCCCAGUACCUGAUAAACCAGGUGUGGGUGCACGCCUGCAAUCCCAGUACAUGAAGGUGGACACAGGAGGUUCAGAAGUUCAAGGUCACCUUCUGCUACACAGUGAAUUCCAGGCCAUCUGGGGCUACAGGAGACUUUGUCUCAAAAGACACAUGGAUAGACAGACAGACAGACAAACAACAGCCAGCCCUGUGGCACACACUUUCAAUUCCAGCACUCAGACACAGAAGCAGGAAGAUCUCUGAAUUCAAGUUCAGUCUAGUAUACAGAGUGAGUUCCAGGCCAGGGCUACACAGAGAAACCCUGUCUUGAAGAGAGAGAGGAAAAAAAAAAAAAAGACAGAUGCAACAAGACACACCUGCCAUCUCAGCACUCCUAGGGUAAGAUGGCAGACUACACAGAAUUGUUCAGCUAGCCUGGGGUUUGCAGCAUGGCAGAAAGAAGAGGGACCCUGUCUCUAUACGAUGGAAAGAGAAAACUAGUUCCUGAAGUGGUCCUCUGACUUCCACAGAUUCUUUCCCCAUCGCUCUGCAGUCUGAUGAAUCCUCCCAAAUGGCCCCUGGAUGCCUUGCCUCCAGAACACCCACUGAUCCCUUCUCUAGAAAUUGGAGAACCCCUCUAAUCAAUCAGCAAGCACUCCUUUUAUGACCUCAGG